rnacentral:rRNA from 1 species
CCUUCCCCUUCGGGGGACAAAGUGACAGGUGGUGCAUGGUUGUCGUCAGCUCGUGUCGUGAGAUGUUGGGUUAAGUCCCGCAACGAGCGCAACCCUUAAGCUUAGUUGCCAUCAUUAAGUUGGGCACUCUAAGUUGACUGCCGGUGACAAACCGGAGGAAGGUGGGGAUGACGUCAAAUCAUCAUGCCCCUUAUGAUUUGGGCUACACACGUGCUACAAUGGACAAUACAAAGGGCAGCGAAACCGCGAGGUCAAGCAAAUCCCAUAAAGUUGUUCUCAGUUCGGAUUGUAGUCUGCAACUCGACUACAUGAAGCUGGAAUCGCUAGUAAUCGUAGAUCAGCAUGCUACGGUGAAUACGUUCCCGGGUCUUGUACACACCGCCCGUCACACCACGAGAGUUUGUAACACCCGAAGCCGGUGGAGUAACCUUUUAGGAGCUAGCCGUCGAAGGUGGGACAAAUGAUUGGGGUGAAGUCGUAACAAGGUAGCCGUAUCGGAAGGUGCGGCUGGAUCACCUCCUUU